GCAGGAAAGCAGGGGAUCGCAAGACCUUGCGCUGAUUGAGCGGCCGAUAUCAGAUUAGCUAGUUGGUGAGGUAAAGGCUCACCAAGGCGACGAUCUGUAGCGGGUCUGAGAGGAUGAUCCGCCACACUGGAACUGAGACACGGUCCAGACUCCUACGGGAGGCAGCAGUGGGGAAUUUUGGACAAUGGGGGCAACCCUGAUCCAGCCAUGCCGCGUGAGUGAAGAAGGCCUUCGGGUUGUAAAGCUCUUUCGUCCGGGAAGAAAUCGCAUCAGCUAAUACCUGGUGUGGAUGACGGUACCGGAAUAAGAAGCACCGGCUAAAUUACGUGCCAGCAGCCGCGGUAAUACAAUCACUAGUGAAUUC
rnacentral:rRNA from 1 species